rnacentral:rRNA from 1 species
GUCCUUUUGAUUAUAAUUUAAGGUCUGACCUGCCCACUGAAAUUAUUUUAAAUGGCCGCAGUAAUUUGACUGUGCAAAGGUAGCAUAAUCAUUAGUUUUUUAAUUAAAAGCUUGUAUGAAGGGUUGGACGAGAUAAAAUCUGUCUCUAUUUAAUUUAUUAUAAAAUUUAAUUUUUAAGUUAAAAAGCUUAAAUUUUUUUAAAAGACGAGAAGACCCUAUAGAUCUUUAUAGUUUUGAUUUUGAAUUUAAUUAAUAAAUUUUUAGGAUUUAUGAUCUAAAUUAUUUUAUUGGGGUAAUAGAAAGAUUAAAAUAAUUCUUUUUUUCUUUAAACAUUUAUUUAUGUUUUUAAUGAUCCAAUUUUAUUGAUUAUAAGAUUAAGUUACCUUAGGGAUAACAGCGUAAUUUUUUUAGAGAGUUCUUAUCGAUAAAAAAGUUUGCGACCUCGAUGUUGGAUUAAAGAUUAGUUUAGGUGUAGAAGUUUAAAUUUUUGGUCUGUUCGACCAUUAAAUCUUUACAUGAUCUGAGUUCAGACCGGCGUAAGCCAGGUCGGUUUCUAUCUUUAAUAAUUUUAAAAUAUUUUAGUACGAAAGGACCAAAUAUUUAAUAUAUUUAUAUUUAAUUUUUUGAAUAUUAUU